ACGCUGACAGAAUGCUUAACACAUGCAAGUCAACUUGAAUUUGGGUUUUUAACUUAGAUUUAGGUGGCGGACGGGUGAGUAACGCGUAAAGAACUUGCCUCACAGCUAGGGACAACAUUUAGAAAUGAAUGCUAAUACCUGAUAUUAUGAUUUUAAGGCAUCUUAGAAUUAUGAAAGCUAUAUGCGCUGUGAGAGAGCUUUGCGUCCCAUUAGCUAGUUGGAGAGGUAACAGCUCACCAAGGCGAUGAUGGGUAGCCGGCCUGAGAGGGUGAACGGCCACAAGGGGACUGAGACACGGCCCUUACUCCUACGGGAGGCAGCAGUGGGGAAUAUUGGACAAUGGACCGAGAGUCUGAUCCAGCAAUUCUGUGUGCACGAUGAAGUUUUUCGGAAUGUAAAGUGCUUUCAGUUGGGAAGAAAUAAAUGACGGUACCAACAGAAGAAGUGACGGCUAAAUACGUGCCAGCAGCCGCGGUAAUACGUAUGUCACGAGCGUUAUCCGGAUUUAUUGGGCGUAAAGCGCGUCUAGGUGGUUAUGUAAGUCUGAUGUGAAAAUGCAGGGCUCAACUCUGUAUUGCGUUGGAAACUGUAUAACUAGAGUACUGGAGAGGUAAGCGGAACUACAAGUGUAGAGGUGAAAUUCGUAGAUAUUUGUAGGAAUGCCGAUGGGGAAGCCAGCUUACUGGACAGAUACUGACGCUAAAGCGCGAAAGCGU
rnacentral:rRNA from 1 species